rnacentral:rRNA from 1 species
UACAGAGGUCCCAAGCGUUGUUCGGAAUCACUGGGCGUAAAGGGUGCGUAGGCGGUAGUGUAAGACUUAGGUGAAAUCUCCAUGCUUAACGUGGAGCUCGCCUGGGAGACUGCAUUACUUGAGGAUUGGAGGGGAGACUGGAAUUCUUGGAGUAGCAGUGAAAUGCGUAGAUAUCAAGAGGAAGACCAGUGGCGAAGGCGAGUCUCUGGACAAUACCUGACGCUGAGGCACGAAGGCCAGGGGAUCAAACGGGAUUAGAUACC